GACGAACGCCGGCGGCGUGCUUAACACAUGCAAGUCGAACGGAAAGGCCCUGCUUUUGUGGGGUGCUCGAGUGGCGAACGGGUGAGUAACACGUGAGUAACCUGCCCUUGACUUUGGGAUAACUUCAGGAAACUGGGGCUAAUACCGGAUAGGAGCUCCUGCUGCAUGGUGGGGGUUGGAAAGUUUCGGCGGUUGGGGAUGGACUCGCGGCUUAUCAGCUUGUUGGUGGGGUAGUGGCUUACCAAGGCUUUGACGGGUAGCCGGCCUGAGAGGGUGACCGGCCACAUUGGGACUGAGAUACAGCCCAGACUCCUACGGGAGGCAGCAGUGGGGAAUAUUGCACAAUGGGCGGAAGCCUGAUGCAGCAACGCCGCGUGCGGGAUGACGGCCUUCGGGUUGUAAACCGCUUUCGCCUGUGACGAAGCGUGAGUGACGGUAAUGGGUAAAGAAGCACCAGCUAACUACGUG
rnacentral:rRNA from 1 species